GACGUAGGGGGCCAGCGUUGUUCGGAAUUACUGGGUGUAAAGGGUUCGUAGGCGGUGCGGCAAGUUGGGAGUGAAAUCUCUGGGCUUAACCCAGAGGCUGCUUCCAAAACUGCUGUGCUUGAGUGUGGGAGAGGCGCGUGGAAUUGCAGGUGUAGCGGUGAAAUGCGUAGAUAUCAGGAAGAACACCCGUGGCGAAGGCGGCUCUCUGGAACGCAACUGACGCUGAGACGCGAAAGCGUGGGGAGCAAACAGG
rnacentral:rRNA from 1 species